rnacentral:rRNA from 1 species
UGCCAGCAGCCGCGGUAAUACGGAGGGUGCAAGCGUUAUCCGGAAUCAUUGGGUUUAAAGGGUCCGUAGGCGGACUGAUAAGUCAGGGGUGAAAUCCAACAGCUUAACUGUUGAACUGCCCUUGAUACUGUUAGUCUUGAAUUAUAUGGAAGUAGAUAGAAUGUGUAGUGUAGCGGUGAAAUGCUUAGAGAUUACACAGAAUACCGAUUGCGAAGGCAGUCUACUACGUAUAUAUUGACGCUAAUGGACGGAAGCGUGGGGAGCGAACAGGAUUAGAUA